GAGCGCGUAGCUCAGCCGGUAGAGCAUCUGACUUUUAAUCAGAGGGUCUCGGGUUCGAACCCCGACGCGCUCACCA
rnacentral:tRNA from 1 species